UACAGAGGGUGCGAGCGUUAAUCGGAAUUACUGGGCGUAAAGCGCGCGUAGGCGGUUUGUCGCGUCGGCCGUGAAAACUUGGGGCUUAACUCCAAGCUUGCGGUCGAUACGGGCAGACUUGAGUUCGGCAGGGGAGACUGGAAUUCCUGGUGUAGCGGUGAAAUGCGCAGAUAUCAGGAGGAACACCGGUGGCGAAGGCGGUUCUCUGGGCCUGUACUGACGCUGAGGAACGAAAGCGUGGGGAGCGAACAGG
rnacentral:rRNA from 1 species